GAGCCGGACUCUGCCCAGCGCCCCGGGGACGGAGGCCCUGCUGUCCGGCGCCGCUCGCGCUCUAUCGAGAGAAGGGUCAGGAAGCAAGGGAGCGAGUCGCGAGGGCUCCGUAGGGAGUGGGAGAGGGCUGACUGGUGGUCCGGUAAGGCUUCUCGGAGGAGGCGCCACGGAAGCCGGCGCUCGGAGGGCGAGAAGAAACCAGCCAGGGGCAGGAGGGGCCGCGGACGACACAGCCUCAGGGGACCCCAGGCCCGCGGCCCCGCAAGAGGAGCCCUCGGGGCGGGGGGCUCUGGCACCCCCUUCGGCCCUUUAAGGGGGAGCAGGGGUCGGUGUGGGCGGUGUCAAGGCCCCCUCGCGACCGCUGAUUGGGCGGCGCGGCCGAGCGGCGCGGCUCCACGGGCUCUGAUAGGCGAGCGCGGCCGGGCGCCGCCGCCAGGUGAUGCCGAGGGUCUGCGCUCGCGGCCACGUGGGGGGCGCGCGGGGCGGGCGCCCGGGCGCAGCAGCGCGGGGGACGCGCAGGGGUCGGGAGCUGGAGCUGCGGGACGGGACGCGCCACGACAGGGCUGCCGCGGUGAGUGGGUUCGGUCUGCGGCGCGGAGAUCGGGGAGGGUCUCAGGGAGCGAGAGGCCCCUGGGCCCCCGCCGCCGGCCCCGGUGUCUCCCGUCGCCUCCUCGGGCGUCUUGCUCCUCGGCGGGGACUCAGGGUGGCCGGGGUCGCGCUCGCCAGCUUCGAGGCGGCGGCGCAGACAGCCCACGCCGGGAGUGCGCGGGUGGCGCAGCAGCGCGGGCCGCUGCUCCCCCGCGUGGCCUCGGCUCUCGCAGCUCAGCCCGGGUCUGGGGCGAGCGUCGCACCCCCGCAGCGCCGGCGCACGCACCUCUCGCGGUUCUCCCGUCGCUGACUCCCGCCCCCGCCCCCAGCUUGCGUGUCCUCGGAGGCGGGGACUUGGGCCACCCCCGAGCUGAGGAACGGGAGGCGGCGAGUGUGACUUGUCCGGGGUCCCAUCAGCCGAUCGUGAUGGACCCCGCAGCCCACGUCCCUGACCCCUGGCUGCGUGGACCUCAGCCUCCGGGGCGCAUGGGGGUGGCACGAGUGGGUGAUGGGGCGGCCGCAGGCCGUCCGGCCAGAGGAGGGAAGCUGGCGUUGGCCGGGGAGGUCCGUGCCGGGGGCCACCGGGCUCCCGACGCCUGUCCCUGCUCCCUCGCCUCACCCCCUCCUAGACAGGCUGGGACGCAGCGAACUCCCGCCGCGGACCCCUGCCACCUGGGACGCAGCGAACUCCCGCCCCGGACCCCUGCCCCCUGGGACGCAUUGGACUCCCGCCGCGGACCCCUGCCCCCUGGGACGCAUUGGAAUCCCGCCGCGGACCCCUGCCCCCUGGGACGCAUUGGACUCCAGCCGCGGACCCCUGCCCCCUGGGACGCAUUGGACUCCCGCCGCGGACCCCUGCCCCCUGGGAGGGCCGGAGGGCUGGCCUUGCCGCCAGCUCCGGGAUUACCCCGUGGGACUAUGACCAGGUAG
rnacentral:lncRNA from 1 species